rnacentral:rRNA from 1 species
CGACCCCAGGUCAGGCGGGGCUACCCGCUGAGUCUAAGCAUAUCAAUAA